UACGUAGGGUGCAGGCGUUAAUCGGAAUUACUGGGCGUAAAGCGUGCGCAGGCGGUUUGCUAAGACAGGUGUGAAAUCCCCGGGCUUAACCUGGGAACUGCGCUUGUAACUAGCAGGCUAGAGUGUGGCAGAGGGGGGUGGAAUUCCAGGUGUAGCAGUGAAAUGCGUAGAUAUCGUAAGGAAGACCAGUGGCGAAGGCGGGUCUCUGGACAGUUCCUGACGCUGAGGCACGAAGGCCAGGGGAGCAAACGGG
rnacentral:rRNA from 1 species